UGGUAUUGACACCUCCUCAUCAAUUAUUGGGAGUGGACCACAUCCACCCUGACUAAAUUGGCCUUCAACAUUGGUUCUCCACUUGUAAGGUAACUCCCUUCUCUUCAUGGGCCAAUAUAUAUCUAUGCCUGUAUCGGUCAUUUUCACUCUAUGCAUCUGAAGAAGUGGGUUUUUGACCCAUGAAAGCUUAUGCCCAAAUAAAUCUGGAUCGGAAGAGCGGCG